ensembl:snRNA U6 U6 spliceosomal RNA
GUGCUCACUUCAGCAGCACAUAUACUAAAAAUUGAAACGAUACAGAGAAGAUUAGCAUGGCCCCUGCCUAAGGAUGACACACAAAUUCGUGAAGUGUUCCAUAUUUUU